rnacentral:rRNA from 1 species
AGCGAACGCUGGCGGCAGGCCUAACACAUGCAAGUCGAACGAACUCUUCGGAGUUAGUGGCGGACGGGUGAGUAACACGUGGGAACGUGCCUUUUGGUUCGGAAUACCUCAGGGAAACUUGUGCUAAUACCGAAUGUGCCCUUCGGGGGAAAGAUUUAUCGCCAUUAGAGCGGCCCGCGUCUGAUUCGCUAGUUGGUGAGGUAACGGCUGAGCAAGGGGACGAUCAGGAGCUGGUCUGAGAGGAUGACCAGCCACACUGGGACUGAGACACGGACCAGAAUCCUACGGAAGGGAGGAGUGGGGAAUCUUGCGCAAGGGGCGAAAGCCUGACGCAGCCAUGCCGGGUGAAUGAUGAAGGUCUUAGGAUUGUAAAAUUCUUUCACCGGGGACGAUAAUGACGGUACCCGGAGAAGAAGCCCCGGCUAACUUCGUG